rnacentral:rRNA from 1 species
UGGGGAAUUUUGGACAAUGGGCGAAAGCCUGAUCCAGCAAUGCCGCGUGUGUGAAGAAGGCCUUCGGGUUGUAAAGCACUUUUGUCCGGAAAGAAAUCCUUGGCUCUAAUACAGUCGGGGGAUGACGGUACCGGAAGAAUAAGCACCGGCUAACUACGUGCCAGCAGCCGCGGUAAUACGUAGGGUGCAAGCGUUAAUCGGAAUUACUGGGCGUAAAGCGUGCGCAGGCGGUUUGCUAAGACCGAUGUGAAAUCCCCGGGCUCAACCUGGGAACUGCAUUGGUGACUGGCAGGCUAGAGUAUGGCAGAGGGGGGUAGAAUUCCACGUGUAGCAGUGAAAUGCGUAGAGAUGUGGAGGAAUACCGAUGGCGAAGGCAGCCCCCUGGGCCAAUACUGACGCUCAUGCACGAAAGCGUGGGGGAGCAAACAGGAUUAGAUACCCCUGGUAGUCCACGCCCUAAACGAUGUCAACUAGUUGUUGGGGAUUCAUUUCCUUAGUAACGUAGCUAACGCGUGAAGUUGACCGCCUGGGGAGUAC